rnacentral:rRNA from 1 species
GACGAACGCUGGCGGCGUGUUUAACACAUGCAAGUCGAACGAUGAAGCCUAGCUUGCUCUUCUUGGAUGAGUUGCGAACGGGUGAGUAACGCGUAGGUAACCUGCCUUGUAGCGGGGGAUAACUAUUGGAAACGAUAGCUAAUACCGCAUAACAAUGGAUGACACAUGUCAUUUAUUUGAAAGGGGCAAUUGCUCCACUACAAGAUGGACCUGCGUUGUAUUAGCUAGUAGGUGAGGUAACGGCUCACCUAGGCGACGAUACAUAGCCGACCUGAGAGGGUGAUCGGCCGCACUGGGACUGAGACACGGCCCAGACUCCUACGGGAGGCAGCAGUAGGGAAUCUUCGGCAAUGGGGGCAACCCUGACCGAGCAACGCCGCGUGAGUGAAGAAGGUUUUCGGAUCGUAAAGCUCUGUUGUAAGUCAAGAACGAGUGUGAGAGUGGAAAGUUCACACUGUGACGGUAGCUUACCAGAAAGGGACGG